UUCGGUCCCUAUCUGUCGUGGGCGUUGGAUAUUUGAGAGGAGCUGACCUUAGUACGAGAGGACCGGGUCGGACGUACCUCCGGUGCAUCGGUUGUUCUGCCAAGGGCAUAGCCGGGUAGCCGCGUACGGAUGUGAUAAACGCUGAAGGCAUCUAAGCGUGAAGCACACCUCAAGAUGAGAUAUCCCAUCAUUUUAAAUGAGUAAGGUCACUUGUAGACUACGAGUUUGAUAGGUCGUAGGUGUAAGCACAGUAAUGUGUUCAGCUGAACGAUACUAAUAGACCGAGGGCUUGAACUG
rnacentral:rRNA from 1 species